ensembl:lncRNA
UUUCCGCUUGACCGCUUCACCACUACCAACAACAACAACAACCAACAACAACAACAACAUCAACAUUACGAGAAAGAUGGCGAACGAAGAGCAAGGUUGGCAAGAAGUCCCACGAGUGAACGGAAGUAUUGUAGCCGAGGAGGAGCGGCGCCGCAUGGGGCUCUGGCAGUGGUGGCGACCGUUUAAUCACAACGUAACCUGCUUCGUCAACUAUUUUACUCUGUUCACUGAGUCAGAGAAUGGAAAUUUUGAGGUCGACUGGUGUUGCCUGUUCCGGACAGUUCCGAGCACAAAGUUCUAGAGCGAGGGAUGGGCGGCGGGUCCGGGAGAGAAGUCGCAGGGGAAAUUUAGAUAUUUAUCAGGCAAUGAGGGAGCUUCAAAACGGCUCCCAUGUGUUCUUUAUUUCAGCUGGGGUUUGAUGGCAAAUGGAGCGAGGCAAGAGCUGGCGAGACCCUUUCCCCAACACACAAGCACUGUGCGCGCGCACACACACACACACACACACACACACAC